rnacentral:rRNA from 1 species
CCCGGCGACCGGCGCACGGGUGAGUAACACGUAUGCAACCUGGCCGCCACAGGGGGAUAACCCGCGGAAACGCGGCCUAAUACCCCGUGACGCCACCGGAGGGCAUCCUCCGGUGGCCAAAGGAGCGAUCCGGUGGCGGAUGGGCAUGCGGCGCAUUAGCUAGACGGCGGGGUGACGGCCCACCGUGGCGACGAUGCGUAGGGGUUCUGAGAGGAAGGCCCCCCCACACUGGGACUGAGACACGGCCCAGACUCCUACGGGAGGCAGCAG